AGUGAACGCUGGCGGUAGGCCUAACACAUGCAAGUCGAACGGCAGCACAGUAAGAGCUUGCUCUUACGGGUGGCGAGUGGCGGACGGGUGAGGAAUACAUCGGAAUCUACUUUUUCGUGGGGGAUAACGUAGGGAAACUUACGCUAAUACCGCAUACGACCUACGGGUGAAAGCAGGGGAUCUUCGGACCUUGCGCGAUUGAAUGAGCCGAUGUCGGAUUAGCUAGUUGGCGGGGUAAAGGCCCACCAAGGCGACGAUCCGUAGCUGGUCUGAGAGGAUGAUCAGCUACACUGGAACUGAGACACGGUCCAGACUCCUACGGGAGGCAGCAGUGGGGAAUAUUGGACAAUGGGCGCAAGCCUGAUCCAGCCAUACCGCGUGGGUGAAGAAGGCCUUCGGGUUGUAAAGCCCUUUUGUUGGGAAAGAAAAGCAGCAGGUUAAUACCCCGCUGUUCUGGCGGUACCCAAAGAAUAAGCACCGGCUAACUUCGUG
rnacentral:rRNA from 1 species